rnacentral:snRNA from 1 species
AUAUUUACCUGGCAGGGGAGAUACCACGAUCAGGAAGGUGGUUUUCCCAGAGUGAGGAUUAUCCAUUGCACUCCAAAUGUGCUGAUUUCUGUCACUUCACCAUCACCACCCCCAAAACAAACAAUCAAAACAACACUUCAGAGCUGAAAAAGAUUUUAUAGAGGCAGUCUUGUGAAAACUUCCC